AGCUGUUUCUAUUUGCUUCAGCAAAGGUUGUCAUUUAUAUCAACUAUGACAUCGAGUCAAUCAUCAUCAUACAUAGUGGAUGCAUUUCAAAUGGAAGCACCAACUUGUUGGUGUGGUUUGAAAGCACUACUAAAGACCUCCCAAACUAACAAAAAUCUAGGAAGAAAAUUUUAUGCUUGCUCGAAGUAUAAAAUGGGAGAAUCAAGUUGUCAAUUCUUCAUAUGGGCCGAUAUACUUCAAUUGAUAGAGGAGAAAUUUAUAACAAGAGAGAAUGCACUCCGAAAUGGAAAGGAUGAUUUAUUGUUGCGCGAGUAUGAGGUGUCGAGAAAAGAAGAUAAACUAAUACAAACAGAGAACAAUUUGAACAUCCAAAAGGAAGAAGUUCGAAGGCAGAUCGUAGAAAAUAGAUGUGGUCGUAUAUUAUUGUGUCUGUAUUGGGUUUGUUCUAUUGUAAUAGUUUUUGGUUUGUUCGGAUGAUAGAUGUAUCGACCCUUAUUGUAAUUGCAAAAUUUUCUAUGAAUAUUUUGUAAUUAUGGAAUGAUUUGCUUAUAGUAAUGGAUGUUAACUUUUU